ensembl:lncRNA
ACAAGAGGCGAGAUGAGCUUUGAGGCCAUUCCCAACCCCUUCCAUGAUUCCACAGCCCUGCACCCCAAAAGAGAGCUCCUCCUGUACUAUGCAAGACUCAUCUUGUUCUUUGCUGGUUUUCUAACCUUCAAGAGUCACCAAAAUAUUGAUUUUACAGCACGUGAUUCACCUCUAUCUCUUUUGCUUCACCUUUUCCUUCCUCCUCUGAGGAUUCCCACCUGAAUCCCGCCGGCUCCUCGCAGUUCUGCUAUCGCCUUCUCCCCAGGGCGUUUUUUACCCACUAUAAAAUAAAAUAAAUCCAUGACCAUUCACGUUUCUUCCUCCUGAUGAAGAAACUGAGGCACGGGAAGGGGAAAUGAAGCCAAGACAAAAAAAAUCCCCCAAGAUUUUACGGGAAGUUGGGACGGACUCUGGCUCCCACUCAGCAUCUCUGCCUUCUCUCCCUGAAGAAUUUGCUAUUUAUAGCUCCGCUUUGCUCCUUUAGAACAUAAUCAAAACCAUCCUCCCUCCAUAUGAGAACUCAUCUAGCGGCACUAACCCUCCUGGGGGAAAACUUCCCGAAAUUUGCAAUUCAGCCUCUGCAAGGGGAAACUUCCAGCGGCGCGGACAGCGCGGGGAGCACGCUCAGCCCGGUGCCGCUCCGGUCCCGGGCACAAACCGGGCUCCCUCCCACGCUACCGAGGAGGCUGCUCGGCUCAGCCCCCCCGGCUCAUUUCCUGCUCGGCAGCGUCCCGCGGAGAAGGAGCGGCGCCGCUCCGGCAGCCGACACCCAGCGGAGGAUGAUGAGGGUCUGCAUCGCGGUGCUCCUGGUCCUUCAGUCCCUGCCGGGGAAGGCAGAGCUCCAAGAUGACAUGGAGGAGAUCGCACAGGAUUUAUAUGACUACAUGGCUCAUUUAAGCAAUUACUAUUCUUCCACAGAAGAUUAUUACUAUGACAACAUCACAGCAACCCCUGCCACGUACGUGUAUGAGUUCGAUUCCUACGAGGCAAACACCAUUGGAUAUGUGGAUUGGGACAAGUUGUUUCCAGAAGAGAAUGCCACCACCAAGGUUCCAGAAGUACCAAACACAAAAGCUCCGGGGGAUUCCAGGGAUGCUAAGGACAGUCAGGAUUUCCAGGAGUCAUUGGGAUCGUCCCUGCAGGGCCACCUCACCCUCACCAUCCUCCUCAGCUGCCUGGGUCUCCUGCUAUGAUGCCCAGACUCCUCCUCCAAAGGUACUCUGGGAUUUCAACACUCACUCAAAGUGUGUCCUUGAACCCAGAGAAAUCCAAUUCUUUCUGAAGCAGCAACUUUCCAGAACAAUGGAAAGAUAACAAGCCCUUCCAGGCAGAUAACAGCCCAUCCAGCUGCGACAUCAGGGAACUCCUCAGCAGCUCUGACCACCACUGAUGGCCUGGAGAAGCUUUCCAGGGCAUUUUCCCUGUUGGUAUUCAGUGGGACCUUCACGGGGUGUGAGGAACCAGGCACCUCCUGCUGCUCCUCCACCAAAACACCAUUCCCUAAAACCCUGGAACGGUUUGGGUUGGGAUGAACCUCACAGACCAGCUGGUUCCACCCUCCUGCCCAGCUUCCUCCAAAGCUCCAUCCCACCUGGCCAACUUUUCCCCACAGCUGGAGCUCUCCAACAUCCCAGGAGGUGGCCAACCUCCAUCCUGCCACACCCUGCUCACCUUUUUCCCUCCUUCCAGACACCGUGGCUGGGAUGGCGACCAGGACAUUGUCAGGUGUUGACGAUGACAUCCUCUCCACGAGGUGUUGUCUCUGUUCCAGAACUGCUGAGAUGUUUUGUCUGGAGGUUUUGGUGGAAAGCCGAUGCCGAGCAUGGAGAGCUCAGCAACCUUUCAGUCCUUUCCUGUUUCCUUGGAUUCCGCUGUAAAUAAGAACCUCUGCCAAUAAAAUCCCCAACACCUGGUGCACGGCGUCUCAUGGUAAAUAAUCCAGCACUGGAAAAACAAAUGCAAACAAUGCAUGCAAGUGCUUGUCCCAUCAGAAGGAUUUCUCAAGCCUCUAAACCCAGCCAGGUGCUUCCAACUUUGUUUCUUCCAGAACUGCUCUUCACACUGUUUAUUUUCCAAAACACACACAAUAUCUGGGUGUGAUGAGAAGCUGGAUCAGAAAACCUCCCACCAGCCCAACCCCUCCAUGGAGAGCAAACUGUCGCAGAAAUGGGUGAUUUUGGUCAGGAAAUCAGAGUUAAAUUCCUUUUUGCGGGGGGAAAAAAUGCAAUCCCACACUCGGUGCCUAUGUUGCUUUUCCUUGGGAGAGUCAGCAGGAAGGAGAGAUGGAAAACUGGCCCAGGUGUGUCCAGGUAACCCUAUAGGACAAAAGAGGUUGAGUCAAGCCAACAGGAGAACCGUGGUAGUCCCAGUGCCCAGAGCCCUCAGAUCUCUCCAGAAACCUCCUGGAUCCCGGGGGAAUCUCCCGAGCCGCCAGAGCAGGUACGACCCAUCCCACCUGCACCCACGGAGCAGCCCCGGGGCCAGCCCACCAUUCCCAGGUUAUCCAAGCCCACAGCCUUGGAAAGAAGAAAAGUUUUGUUUCCUGCAGAAGGUAAAAAGCUCGAAACGCGUUCAGAAGCGGCGGGAGGAGCGAGAGCGGAUGCGCUGCCUGGCAGUGCCACCUCCUGGCUCUGUGCUGCCAUAAAGGUGGAUUGAGAAGAGCCAAGAACGCCCCGGAAAAUUAUUCAGAAUCACACAGCAGUGAGAUUUCCAACCCUGGAGUGGAGUAAAAAGCAAUUAAAGGGAAAUAAAAUAUGUGGA